GUGAGGGAGGUUGUGAGACAGCGAUGUAGUUUACUAGAAGAGUUACAAAAUAUUUAUUUAAUUGAAUUUGCUGGGAAGCAAAGCCAUAGAAGGUAACAGCCCUGUAAGUGAAAAAUAGAUAUCUCUUUUAUCGCUGAUCUCGAGUACUUCGAGGAACGACAGCCUUGAGGGAAUCUGGCAGAACUAACUGCUAAGGCUAAAUACUUUUAGAGAUCAAUAGUGAACAAGUACCGUGAGGGAAAGGUGAAAAGUAGCCCGGGAGGGCGUUGAAAUAGAACCUGAAACCCUAUGCUUACAAGGAGUCGGAGUCUCUUACCCAGAAUGUCUUUGUUCCACGUUGUUUAUUGAAAGUUAGAAAUUAAUUUUCAAUAUUGGUGAUAAUUAAAAAUUACCGCCCAACGUGCAGUGGAACAAAAAAUAACGAAGACAUUCUGGGUGAGGGAUGACGGCGUGCCUAUUGAAGAAUGAGCCAACGAGUUUAUGCAUAUUGCUUAGCUAAGCCUCAAAAGGGUGGAGCUGUAGGGAAACCGAGUAUGAAAGUGCGAACUUUAGAAGUUGGAGGUUGGAAGUUAGAAGUUGGGUUUCCCAACGUCUAAUAUCUAACUUCUAAUUUCUAUUUUCUGUAAUAUGCAUAAGACCCGAAACUGGGUGAGCUUGCCAUGGGCAGGAUGAACCUCGCAGAAAUGCGAGAGGAGGUCCGAACCGGUUAGCCGUGCAAUACUAUCGGAUGACCUGUGGUAAGGAGUGAAAAGCUAAUCGAACUCAGUAAUAGCUGGUUCUCUCCGAAAUAGCUUUAGGGCUAGCGUCUAGCAUACCCUCUGGGGGUAGAGCACUGGAAGAGUUGAAUAGGGAGAAAUCUCGUCAACUCUAUCAAACUCCGAAUACCAGAGGUCAAGUACUAGGCAGUUAGACGGCGGGGGCGAAGCUCCGUUCGUCAAAAGGGAAACAGCCCAGAUCUCAAUCUAAGGUCCCUAAAUCAAUACUAAGUGCACUUAAGGAGGUGAGAUUUCUCUGACAAUGAGGAUGUUGGCUUAGAAGCAGCCAUCAUUUAAAGAAAGCGUAAUAGCUCACUCAUCAAGAGAUUUUGCGCCGCAAAUUAUCGGGGCUCAAGUAUUGUACCGAAGGUGAGGAUGCUAGUGCUUGGCACUAGCGUGGUAGGAGAGUGUUUUUCGCUGCUGUGAAGGUCUGUCGCGAGGCUGACUGGAGCGCGAAGAAGUAAGAAUGUUGGCACAAGUAACCGCAACCCCGGUGAGAGCCCGGGGCGCCGAAAAACCAAGGUUUCCUUGGCAAUGUUGAUCAGCCAAGGGUUAGUCGGGCCUAAGCCGAUGGCGAAAGCCGCAGGCGAUGGACACAUGGUUAAUAUUCCAUGACCUCUUUAUUUUUCCGAUGGAGGGACGAAGGAAAAGAGUGAAUGCGCCUUAUAGGAUUGGCGUUGCUACUCCUAGGAAUGCUCUUUAGGUAAAUCCGGAGAGCUGAUUUAAUUCAAAUUCCGAGAGCGGCAAAAUUCCUUUCUACGGAUUGGAAAAUUUUCACGCAGAGCCUUCCGAGAAAAUCUUCUAGGGUUAAGAAUAAAGAGUCCGUACCGUAAACCGACACAGGUGGUUAGGUCGAGAAGACCAAGGCGAACGGGUGAGAGAUCCUCAAGGAACUCGGCAAAAAAGCGGCCGUAAGUUUGCAAUAAGGCCUCCCCGACACCAACAUUGGCAUUGUUUUACUUUGCCUUCGAUUUUUUGUAGAAAAAUUCGAUUGAGCAAUAACUUUAGAUUCUAGUUUGUAAUCUAAAAGUAAAACACAAAGUGAUGCCAAUGUUGGUGUGGGGGCGCAGCUAAAGUAUCCCUGGCGACUGUUUAUCAAAAACACAGCUCCCUGCGAACUCGUAAGAGUAUGUAUAGGGGGUGACGCCUGACCAAUGCCAGAAGGUCAAAUAAGGCUGGUGAGAUUAUAUCAAGCUGGUUUUAUAAGCCCUGGUGAAUGUCGGCGAUAACUAUAAUCGUCCUAAGGUAGCGUAAUUCCUUGUCUGGUAAGUUCAGACGUGCACGAAUGGCGUAACGACUGGGGAACUGUCUCGAGGAUUUGCCCGGUGAAAAUACAGUGGGGGUGAAGAUGCCCUCUACCUGCAGCUAGACGAAAAGACCCCAGAAGCUUUACUACAACUUGAUAUUGGAUAUACGUUUUAUCUGCGUAGCAUAGGUGGGAGAGGUUGAAGCGACGGUUUUGGCUGUCGUGGACUCGUCAGUGAAAUACCACUCUGGUUGAGUGUAUAUUCUAACCUGACCGGCAAAAACGGUCGGAGACAGUAUCUGGUAGGUAGUUUUAUUGGGGCGAUAUCCUCCUAAAAAGUAACGGAGGAGUCUAUUAAGGUCGGCUAGGCGCGAAUGGAAAUCGUGCCGAUAGUGUAAUGGCACAAGCCGGCUUAACUGCAAGACGUACGUGUCAAGCAGGUGCGAAAGCAGAGCAUAGUGAACCGACGGUCCGUAUUAGACGCGGCCGGAGAUUAACGGAUAAAAGCUACUCUGGGGAUAACAGGCUGGUUCCGCCCAAGCGUCCUUAGCGACGGCGGAGUUCGGCACCUCGAUGUCGGCUCAUCUUAUCCUGGGGGUGAAGAAGCUCCCAAGGGUAUGGCUGUUCGCCAUUUAAAAAGAUACGCGAGCUGGGUUCAAACCGUCGUGAGACAGGUUGGUCUCCUAUCUGCUGCAGGCGUUGAUAAUUGAGAAGAUCUGCUUCUAGUAAGAAAUUGCUACUUGGCUCCUAAUCCGGUUAAAGCCGGAUGGACCCGAUCCGCCUGUUGGCGGAUUUAGGGAAAGAAAUUUGCCAUGACAAUUUGGCUAAUAACGGUGAAGCCUUCAUAAAUGAUUUGGCAACUGGAU
rnacentral:rRNA from 1 species